GUUAUGUCGCGCGUUCGGAUGACCUCUGCCCAACUCCUCGACGUCUAGACUUCUCCCUCUAUAUCUACGUAUUGGGCUAGCCUACUUCAUCGUCUGGGGAUGUCGACACAACACCCUCAGUCAGGUCCA